AAUAUUGCACAAUGGGCGAAAGCCUGAUGCAGCAACGCCGCGUGAGCGAUGAAGGCUNNNGGGUCNUCAAGCUCUGUCCUAAGNGACNAUAAUGACGGUACCUUAGGAGGAAGCCCCGGCUAACUACGUGCCAGCAGCCGCGGUAAUACGUAGGGGGCAAGCGUUAUCCGGAUUCAUUGGGCGUAAAGGGUGCGUAGGCGGCCCUAUAGGUCAGAGGUCAAAGGCUACGGCUCAACCGUAGUAAGCCUUUGAAACUGUAGGGCUUGAGUGCAGGAGAGGAGAGUGGAAUUCCUAGUGUAGCGGUGAAAUGCGUAGAUAUUAGGAGGAACACCAGUGGCGAAGGCGACUCUCUGGACUGCAACUGACGCUGAGGCACGAAAGCGUGGGGAGCGAACAGG
rnacentral:rRNA from 1 species